UACGUAGGGUGCGAGCGUUAAUCGGAAUUACUGGGCGUAAAGCGUGCGCAGGCGGUUCGUUGUGUCUGAUGUGGAAGCCCCGGGCUCAACCUGGGAAUGGCAUUGGAAACUGGCGAGCUAGAGUGUGGCAGAGGGGGGUGGAAUUCCGCGUGUAGCAGUGAAAUGCGUAGAGAUGCGGAGGAACACCGAUGGCGAAGGCAGCCCCCUGGGCUGACACUGACGCUCAGGCACGAAAGCGUGGGGAGCAAACAGG
rnacentral:rRNA from 1 species